UACGUAAGGUGCGAGCGUUAAUCGGAAUUACUGGGCGUAAAGCGUGCGUAGGUGGUUCGUUAAGUCUGAUGUGAAAGCCCUGGGCUCAACCUGGGAAUGGCAUUGGAAACUGGCGACCUAGAGUGCGGUAGAGGGUAGUGGAAUUCCCGGUGUAGCAGUGAAAUGCGUAGAGAUCGGGAGGAACAUCUGUGGCGAAGGCGACUGCCUGGACCAGCACCGACACUGAGGCACGAAAGCGUGGGGAGCAAACAGG
rnacentral:rRNA from 1 species